rnacentral:rRNA from 1 species
UACGUAGGAGACGAGCGUUGUCCGGAAUUACUGGGCGUAAAGCGCGUGUAGGCGGAUGGGCAAGUCUGCUGUGAAAGCUCCUGGCUUAACCGGGAGUGGUCGGUGGAAACUGCCAAUCUGGAGGACGGUAGAGGUAGGUAGAAUUCCCGGUGUAGUGGUGAAAUGCGUAGAGAUCGGGAGGAAUACCUGUGGCGAAGGCGGCCUACUGGGCCGGACCUGACGCUGAGACGCGGAAGGCGUGGGGAGCGAACAGG